rnacentral:rRNA from 1 species
GGGAGCGUUCUGUAAGCCUGCGAAGGUGUGCUGUGAGGCAUGCUGGAGGUAUCAGAAGUGCGAAUGCUGACAUAAGUAACGAUAAAGCGGGUGAAAAGCCCGCUCGCCGGAAGACCAAGGGUUCCUGUCCAACGUUAAUCGGGGCAGGGUGAGUCGACCCCUAAGGCGAGGCCGAAAGGCGUAGUCGAUGGGAAACAGGUUAAUAUUCCUGUACUUGGUGUUACUGCGAAGGGGGGACGGAGAAGGCUAUGUUGGCCGGGCGACGGUUGUCCCGGUUUAAGCGUGUAGGCUGGUUUUCCAGGCAAAUCCGGAAAAUCAAGGCUGAGGCGUGAUGACGAGGCACUACGGUGCUGAAGCAACAAAUGCCCUGCUUCCAGGAAAAGCCUCUAAGCAUCAGGUAACAUCAAAUCGUACCCCAAACCGACACAGGUGGUCAGGUAGAGAAUACCAAGGCGCUUGAGAGAACUCGGGUGAAGGAACUAGGCAAAAUGGUGCCGUAACUUCGGGAGAAGGCACGCUGAUAUGUAGGUGAGGUCCCUCGCGGAUGGAGCUGAAAUCAGUCGAAGAUACCAGCUGGCUGCAACUGUUUAUUAAAAACACAGCACUGUGCAAACACGAAAGUGGACGUAUACGGUGUGACGCCUGCCCGGUGC